CAACUUGAGAGUUUGAUCCUGGCUCAGAACGAACGCUGGCGGCAGGCUUAACACAUGCAAGUCGAGCGCCCACUUCGGUGGGAGCGGCAGACGGGUGAGUAACGCGUGGGAAUCUACCCAGCUCUACGGAACAACCCAGGGAAACUUGGGCUAAUACCGUAUACGUCCUUCGGGAGAAAGAUUUAUCGGAGUUGGAUGAGCCCGCGUUGGAUUAGCUAGUUGGUGGGGUAAUGGCCUACCAAGGCGACGAUCCAUAGCUGGUCUGAGAGGAUGAUCAGCCACAUUGGGACUGAGACACGGCCCAAACUCCUACGGGAGGCAGCAGUGGGGAAUAUUGGACAAUGGGCGCAAGCCUGAUCCAGCCAUGCCGCGUGAGUGAUGAAGGCCCUAGGGUUGUAAAAUUCUUUCAGCAGGGAAGAUAAUGACGGUACCUGCAAAAGAAGCCCCGGCUAACUCCGUGCCAGCAGCCGCGGUAAUACGGAGGGGGCUAGCGUUGUUCGGAAUUACUGGGCGUAAAGCGCUCGU
rnacentral:rRNA from 1 species